GCCUGAGCGAGACCCCAUCUCUACUAAAAAUAGAAAGAAAUUAAUUGGCCAACUAAAAAUAUAUAUACAAAAAAUUAGCUGAGCAUGGUGGCUCAUGCCUGUAGUCCCAGCUACUCGGGAGGCUGAGGCAGGAGGAUCGCUUGAGCCCAGGAGUUUGAGUUUGCUGUGAGCUAUGCUGACGCCACAGCACUCACUCUAGCCUGGACAACAAAGUGAGACUCUGUCUCAAAAAAAAAAAGCACAAAACGAAAAUGCCUCUAGGCCCCUCGUCACUCCGCCUCUCCCCCUCCCCAAGUGUGCCAACUGGCCGCUACUCACCCUGGGGCCCCUACCUGUGUCCCUUUCUGUUACAGGGUGGAAGAGCCGUGGGUGGGCAGAGCCGGGGUGCUGGCCCUCCUAGAAGUCUGCAGCCAGGCCUCAGGCAACGUCACUGAAAUAAGCAUCUCUGAGACCGGGCAGCAGCUGCGCGUCCAGCUGGAAUUCCCUCGCCAGGAGAACCCGGAGGUGGUGGCCCUCAGGUUGGCUCACUGUGACCUUGGGACCCACCACAGCCUUCUCGUCAGGCAGCUGAUGGAGGCGUGUGCCAGGCUGCGGCAGCUCAGCUUGUCCCAGGUUAACCUCUGUGAUGACGGUGAUGCCAGCGUCCUGCUGCUGCAGAGCCUCCUGCCGUCCCUGUCUGAGCUGAAGACGUUCCGGUGGGCAGACGAGGCGCUCUCCCCGCCCCUUGCAGCCCGGCCCUUCCCCCGCCCGUCGGCCCCCAGCCCAAGGCUCGGAGGACCCUGGGUCCCGCCCUGUGGACAAGAACCACAGGUGGUUUUGAGGUGGUGUCAGGGGUGCACGGUGACAGGCACGACCUUAGCAACACUGAGCCACACGGCAAGAAACUUAUUCCCUUUUCAAUGCCCUUUCUUUGUUUUCUCUUGAAAUAAUUGCAAGCUAAUAAAAAAGCUGCAAGAAGGCUAAGANNNNNNNNNNNNNNNNNNNNNNNNNNNNNNNNNNNNNNNNNNNNNNNNNNCAGUCUGAAAUGUUCUGGAAUAUCCUUGGUCCUUUUCAGCUUGUCCCAGGUUAACCUCUGUGAUGACGGUGAUGCCAGCGUCCUGCUGCUGCAGACCCUCCUGCCGUCCCUGUCUGAGCUGAAGACGUUCCGGUGGGCAGACAAGGCGCUAUCCCCGGCCCCUUGCAGCCCUGCCCUUCCCCCACCCGUCGGCCCCCAGCCCAAG
rnacentral:lncRNA from 1 species